AACGAACGCUGGCGGCGUGCUUAACACAUGCAAGUCGAACGCGAAAAGGGGGGCAACCCCCUGAGUAGAGUGGCGCACGGGUGAGUAACGCGUGGGUAACCUACCUCCGGGCGGGGGAUAACUACCCGAAAGGGUGGCUAAUACCGCAUGAGACCACGAUGCCUCCGGGCAUCGGGGCCAAAGAUGCCGCAAGGUGUCACCUGGAGACGGGCCCGCGUACGAUUAGCUAGUUGGUAGGGUAACGGCCUACCAAGGCUGCGAUCGUUAGCUGGUCUGAGAGGAUGAUCAGCCACACUGGAACUGGAACACGGUCCAGACUCCUACGGGAGGCAGCAGUGAGGAAUAUUGCGCAAUGGGGGAAACCCUGACGCAGCAACGCCGCGUGGGUGAAGAAGGCCUUCGGGUCGUAAAGCCCUUUCGGACGGGACGAACGCCGGCAUGGGAUAACCAUGUCGGUCUGACGGUACCGUAAGAAGAAGCACCGGCUAACUCCGUGCCAGCAGCCGCGGUAAAAC
rnacentral:rRNA from 1 species